UCAAGAAGAAAAUCCUAAUAAUAAAUUAAAAGAAUAAACGAGGGAAACAAAUAAAUACCUACCGUGCGAGAACAACCGAAUAACUAUUUUCCCCAAUCUGCAUCGUAUUAGGUCAGAGAUGAGAGAAUGAGCGAGCGGCCGAGGGUGUGAGAAUGGGCGACAUAGGGAGACGAAGGAGAGUUGGUCGUUACCAUCGCUGGCAACCACCAAGAGCCGGUCGUCAAAAUCGUGGGAGAGCUGAACGGGAUGUGGGCUGGGAGCGACGAGAUGGGGUGAGAGCAGA